GGUGGGCACUCUAAGGAGACUGCCGGUGACAAACCGGAGGAAGGUGGGGAUGACGUCAAGUCAUCAUGGCCCUUACGGCCAGGGCUACACACGUGCUACAAUGGUCGGUACAAAGGGUUGCCAAGCCGCGAGGUGGAGCUAAUCCCAUAAAACCGAUCGUAGUCCGGAUCGCAGUCUGCAACUCGACUGCGUGAAGUCGGAAUCGCUAGUAAUCGUGAAUCAGAAUGUCACGGUGAAUACGUUCCCGGGCCUUGUACACACCGCCCGUCACACCAUGGGAGUGGGUUGCUCCAGAAGUAGCUAGUCUAACCUUCGGGAGGACGGUACCACGAUGAUCAGGG
rnacentral:rRNA from 1 species